AGACAUUUCAUUUCUACGCCCCGAUAAAGUCGAGUUUUGUUCCCGUCCACCAAGGUGGUAUAGACAUUCUAUUCUCUUUCUAUCCGGGACAAACACGAAUGAAAAAUAUAAACAAAAAACUAUUGCAAAUAAGCAGGUUGUUAUGUAUAGGCAAAAAAUACUUGAGCCUGCUAGCAUUAGUUCACAAUCUCCUCCCAAUCUUGGCAAACCGUCUGCCAAUUCCGAAUAUGACUGCCUUUGUUAAUAGUCCACGGUCAAUAGUGCAGGCUAGAGCAAUAGCUCCACCAACCAAAAGAAGUUUAGGAAUGUUCUUCCCAACUUGUUUUCCAGAUGACUUUGAACUGCUUUCAUCCUCCAAUGAAUCAUUAUGAGAGCUGUUUUCCAGAGAUCUCAAGUAGUCUACAUUAACCUUAGUAUUGAUCUGAGCCAUGAAGGCACAGUGUGGUAUGGUGGAAUGCGAUGCUCUCUCUUUUUGGUAUGCUCGUAGCCCGGGAUCAAUCUUUUUAACAGUUCCCCACAUUCCCUGCCGAACUCCGAGCUUAGCAAUUUCCCAAGGAAUGCCCAUAUCUUCAUAGUGAAACAGUAUAACCUCACAUGCGGUUAGCUGUUUCACUAUGAAGAUAUGG
rnacentral:misc_RNA from 1 species